UACAGAGGUGGCAAGCGUUGUUCGGAAUUACUGGGCGUAAAGGGCGAGUAGGCGGCCUUCUAAGUCAGACGUGAAAUCCCUCGGCUCAACCGGGGAACUGCGUCUGAUACUGGCGGGCUUGAAUUCGGGAGAGGGAUGUGGAAUUCCAGGUGUAGCGGUGAAAUGCGUAGAUAUCUGGAGGAACACCGGUGGCGAAGGCGGCAUCCUGGACCGACAUUGACGCUGAGGCGCGAAAGCCAGGGGAGCAAACGGG
rnacentral:rRNA from 1 species